rnacentral:lncRNA from 1 species
UUACAAAUAAGUCAACAUGACUGAAAUGGUCAGUUGACCCCUUUAGGAGUUAUUGCCCUUUAUAGUCAAUUUUUAACCAUUUUUCGUAAAUCUUAGUAAUAUUUUACAAAAAAUCUUCUCCGCUGAAACUACUGGGCCAAAUUAAUCCAAACUUGGCCACAAUCAUCUUUAGGGUUAGUAGUUUGAAAAAUGUGUCCGGUGACCCGGCCAUCCAAACAAGAUGGCCGCCAUGGCUAAAAAUAGAACAUGGGGUAAAAUGCAGUUUUUGGCUUAUAACUCAAAACCCAAAGCAUUUAGAGCAAAUCUGACAUGGGGUAAAAUUGUUUAUCAGUUCAAGAUCUAUCUGCCCUGAAAUUUUCAGAUGAAUCGGACAACCCGUUGUUGGGUUGCUGGCCCUGAAUUAGUAAUUUUAAGGAAAUUU